CCAGCUCUAGCCGUGCAGUGGAAGGAGCUGGUGAUAUGGUCACGACAGGACCAUAUGGGGACCCGCCCCUCGCUAUUUCUUGCUAUUUCAGGCCAAUCUGCUGACAGGACAACCAGGCUUCCUGACCCUGCCGACCCAUCCUUUUGAGCAUGUUCUGCGAGGCCCAGCCUCUAUCCACCUGCCUCCCAGCUGGUGAGCUCAUUUCCACAGAUUCUGUCAAGACCUGCUCCCUUUGAGGUAGAGCAAGCAGCAGAUGGGAUGUUCCCCUCGGCAUCCCUACUUGAGAUGUGCGUGGGACCUGGCAGCUGAGCUCCCCAAAGCCUGAAAGUGGGGUGCAGGCAAGUGCAGAGGGAGGCAGGGCUCCCAUCUCAAAACUUUCCAUGAAACCCUGGUGCCAACUCCCCCUUCCAACCAGGGGGGUGCCAACCCAUCAUGCUCAGCCUCCAGGCGCCCACAGUUCAGAAAGUGUUGGGCCAAGAGGGGUUCAUGGGGUCAGCUGGGCCAAUAGCUGCCUCACACUGCUGAGGAGCCCCAGGGGUGCCUCUUGUCUGAGCACACACGAACCCCCACUCCUGUGGGCCCAGGAUGCUGACACCUCCCCAAGAUCCCAUUCACACUGCUCUAAAAUAGAUGUUCAAGGACGUGCUGGAUUCUCCUACACAGCAACGGGGUACACAGAGUCUGGUUUUUAAAUCGGGAACGUGGCAAUCACAAACAUCAUGCCAGGAACAACACAAGUGGCUAGGGGCCCACCAGGGCAGAAUAAUACCCUCAGAAGUCAUUUUACUAGCUCCCAACUCCUGCGGCAGGACAGACCCACACACAUCACAAACAUCAUCUCAUGUCCCCACAUGGCCACCGCAUCCCCAUUUCACAGAUUUGGAAAGAGAAUCUCAAGAGUUUACAUAACCAACUCAAGGAUAUGCGGUUGGCAAAAGAGGAGCUGGCUUGGAGCCUAGACCCAGCCGUCCAUACCCCCCUAGGACUCAUGAGGCCUGGGGGUGGAACAUCAAGGAUGAACUGGCAGCAUCCCUCACCUCCUGCAGUAUCCAGGAGUAAUGGCACAGCCACGGAAACUUCCAGAAACAGAGAAACUAGAAGGAAACCACGCCAAGAGAGGGCAAGGGCUCAUGCCUGGGGAAAGCAGGGCCGAGUAGUUACCUACAGGAGAGUUCCAAGAGCCACACACUGAGCUCGUCCUGUCAAUGACAAGAGCUACCUUAAGAGUUUCCUAGAAGAGGCCACUGGCUAGGACCUUCUUGGAGGAGGAGGGUUUUGAGCAGGACAGGAGCCUGAGAAGUGCAUCACCGAUCCGGGGGGUAUGAAGCUCACAGGGCUCAACCCUGACCCCACGCCCACCCUGCCUUCCCCGUGUUCCCCGGGGAACAGGAGAACACAGCUCCACCCAGAGGUGUAUCCCUGACCCGGCGCGUAACAUGGAAAACAAAGGACUUUCUCGAGGAGGCAGGCGGAUGCCGUCAGCCGAAAUAGAUAAAUUAAAAUGUGGC
rnacentral:lncRNA from 1 species